rnacentral:piRNA from 1 species
UGACCUGUCACGAUUCCUGUAAAGGAGAAA